UCGACUUCAAGGUCUUUGCUUCGGUGGCGCGGAUGGAGUCCGCGCGCCUACUGCCGCACUCACGGCGAGCAAGGAUUGGGAGGUGCACCACAUGGACGUGAAGUCCGCUUUCCUCAACAAGGAGCUUGUGGAGGAGGUGCACGUACAGUAGCCGCCGGGAUUCAUCGUCACCGGUGAGGAGUGCAAGGUGCUUGGCUUGCGGCAGGCACCAAGCGCAUGGAACACCAAAGUGGACGCGAGUCUGGUGUCUCUCGGCUUCACCAAGUGCGCGACGGAGCACACGCUCUACACCCGGCAAAAGGAGCGCGGGAACUUGAUCGUCGGCAUGUACGUCGACGACCUGAUCAUCACCGGCUCGGAGCGGCAGCACAUCAACGACUUCAAGGAGAUGACGGCACUGUUCCGGAUGAGCGAUUUGGGAUUGCUCAGCUACUACCUCGGAAUCGAGGUGGAGCAGGGAGAGCGCGGCAUCACCCUCCGGCAGAGCGGCUACGCGAAGAAGCUGCUCAGGCACGGCGGGAUGGAUAGCUACAAGCCGUGCUAGUCCCCAAUGGAGGAGAAGAUCAAGCUACCAAAGGACAGCUCUGCUCCGAAGGUGGACGCAACGAGCUACCGGAGCAUCGUCGGCGGACUGCGCUAUCUGGUGCACACAAGGCUGGACAUCGGUUUCGCCAUCGGCUACCUAAAUCGAUUCAUGGAGGAUCUGCGGGAGGACCACAUCGCCGCGAUCAAGUACCUCCUCCGCUACAUUGCCGGGAUGAUUGAGUACUGGAUCACCUAUCCCUAGGAGGGGAGGGGCACGGCUGGAGCUGACUAGUUUCAGCGACAGCGACAUGGCGAGCGACAUCAACGAGCUACCGGAGCAUCGUCGGCGGACUGCGCUAUCUGGUGCACACAAGGCUGGACAUCGGUUUCGCCAUCGGCUACCUAAAUCGAUUCAUGGAGGAUCUGCGGGAGGACCACAUCGCCG
rnacentral:lncRNA from 1 species